ensembl:lncRNA
AGUAUGUAGGCCUGGUCCUCUUGUUGUUAUCUUGAGGCCUGGCCUCCAGCUGGCGUGUUUCUGGCCACAUUUGUAGUGUCUUUUUACGUUUUGUCCUGAGCUUUGGAGGGCUCAGCCCUGUCUGGCUCCCUACAGUACUUCACCUAACUUAGCUGUCUAUAACACUACCACACGGCUGCAUGAAGCCGGGGAAUGGGAUACAGGCCCUUGCCGAGAGGCGUGCUCUCUGCUUUCUACUCCACGAGGUUGCAGCGCUUCUUCUCUCCUGGAGGACGGAGCUACAAGGUGUCAACUUGGAAGCACAAAACCAGCCUUGGCAGACACUGAACCAGCUGGCACCUUGAUCCUGGAUUCCCCAGCUCCAGAACUGUGAGAAAACAAGUCUAUGUUUUGUGUAAAUCACCUAGCAUCGUGUGUUCUGUUGGAACAGUACAAACCAGGGGUCUCGUGUCUUCUGCUGACACACAGGAAAUGGUGGCAGGCCAAGGGGUGAACUUGCAUGCAGAGCAUGACCUCAGCUUCUGCGAAGUUCUUGGCAGUUACUAUGAGGAAGCGCCCAGCUACAGAAUAACUCCAGUUUGGCCUCCGGUCACAACUGAGACUUCAGUGAUCCAGUGAUGCUGUGAUUCUCCAGGACAAGAAACAUCCUGGGAGAACAAACAUCUGCUCAGUUCCUCGUUGUUCUUGGACUGUUAACAUCUUGUUUACAGGAGAUGUACAGAACUCUCUGCAAGCCUUUUGUUACACCUUGUUUGUUCCAAUGUGAACUACUGAACUCUCUGCAAGUCAUCUGUUACAUUUGUUUCUCCCUAUGUACUGAAUUCUCUGCAAGUCAUUUUGUUAGGAGGUACUGAAUAAAAGGUGUGGUAAGCUGGGGGCUUUGGUCUUUGCCGCCCAGAGCAGCACUGAUCAGACCCAAAGCUCAGUUUCUUCUCAGUCUCAUUUUUCUACCUUUCCUGUAAUUCACCAUGUGCUGCCAUGGCUCACAGGAGACCAGGACUCACUGCAGAGGUUCUGGUAACGUCCCCUUCCCCUGUCCCCUACAGAGACUUAAAAUAUAGAGUCUGCCCAAAAAAUGGACCCACACAUCAGCAG